rnacentral:rRNA from 1 species
AGUGAACGCUGGCGGUAGGCCUAACACAUGCAAGUCGAACGGCAGCACAGUAAGAGCUUGCUCUUACGGGUGGCGAGUGGCGGACGGGUGAGGAAUACAUCGGAAUCUACUUUUUCGUGGGGGAUAACGUAGGGAAACUUACGCUAAUACCGCAUACGACCUACGGGUGAAAGCAGGGGAUCUUCGGACCUUGCGCGAUUGAAUGAGCCGAUGUCGGAUUAGCUAGUUGGCGGGGUAAAGGCCCACCAAGGCGACGAUCCGUAGCUGGUCUGAGAGGAUGAUCAGCCACCCUGGAACUGAGACACGGUCCAGACUCCUACGGGAGGCAGCAGUGGGGAAUUUUGGACAAUGGGCGCAAGCCUGAUCCAGCCAUACCGCGUGGGUGAAGAAGGCCUUCGGGUUGUAAAGCCCUUUUGUUGGGAAAGAAAAGCGGCAGGUUAAUACCCCGCUGUUCUGACGGUACCCAAAGAAUAAGCACCGGCUAACUUCGUG